rnacentral:misc_RNA from 1 species
GAAUCUCGCGUUCUCCCACUUGUGGAACAUUUAACUCGUUUCGAAAGGUCGCGAUCGCGAGAACGUGAGAUUGUGGGAAUGUCCCUUACAGUACUCCAUAGCAUUCAGAGACGAACGGCUCGAUCUUUAUCAUAACAUGGAUUGGUUUUAAAGUGGGUCAUGUCAACACAAUGAACAGGUGAGACAAGCGCUCACUGAAACUGCUUACCCUCACGUCAAAGUCCAGCCAGGGGUACAUGCAAGGCGGUCUCACACAGCAGCCAGACACCAACGCAGGAAACCAGUGAAGUUCUUUGAGGAUCGGGGUGAUAUGGUCUGAUUUUGGGGAGAGUGAAACAAGUCUGGCUGCUUUGUUCUAGAUUGAUUGCAAUCUUCUGAUGACAUUUUUUGGAGAACCGGCAAGGAGGUUAUUGCAAUAAUCCAUCCUUGAUAUUGUUAGUGAAAGGCUUCCCCUCUGUGUCGAGCAGUCUCCAGCAGUUCCGGCUUAGUUGUCUACAUUUCUUCACUACUAAGGAUGGGAAUCCCUCUCGACAAAGACAAUCGGAAUAUAGUGUACAUAUGGCUUUUAACAACAGAACCCUUCCGUGCUGGCCACGCAUCUCUGCAACUGGGCAAUAAGAAAUAUAUCAGCUGGUGGCCCAAGGAGGAUAAGAUUUUACAACGGUUAAAACCUUCCUCUGGAAUUCCUCGCACUUUUGUAGAAGACGUCGAAAGAGAGGAUUCACUGCCAACCUAUGCGGUGAUUAUACCUGAGAACCACAAACUGAACGAGGUGGCUGUUGCGCAGUGGUGGGACAAGUACAAGUCCUCGGGCAAUUGGGAUGCCCAUCACACCUGUUGUUGGGUGGUCAAGAAGGCUCUUUCCGUUGGGCUAAUAGAUGCAUCUUUUACAUUUGAUAUGUCAUUCAGCGUUAAUGAUACAUCCAACCUAUUCGACUGUGUCAUGGAGAUACCCGGUGUUGAGUUUUACAGAGGGUCACAUGUACAUUACUUUCAGUUGGGUUGGAAACUCUUGAAAGUAAUUGAGUCGACAUUUGGAAACCAAUUUGAAAUACUACAGUCACUUUUGAAAGCUUUCUCAAGAGUCCAAAUUAUAUCUUACAAAUAUAACCCAGAUGUUAGCAUUAGUUUGUUUGCAUGUUUGUUUACAGCUGUUUGUCUGUUAUGGCUGCUUAACAAGGGUGUGCCACAGACUAGAAAUUUUUGGAGUGCUGUACGUAUGAUACUCUAUACAUUUUAAUAUACUCUUUCAAUGUUCAUGUUGAUUGUGAAGGGGAAACUGACAACCUGAUUACUUGUAACAGACUUGGAAUGUUUAGUUAACCUCCGUGCGGUUUCGAUGCAUAGCUGUCUGAAAAGUAUGCAAACAGUACACCUGUACUCCAUCGUAAACUUGCUUAAUCUUACGUCGUGAUGGGCUCAGAUUUGGAACCAUACCUGGAAACUGUUCACAGAGCAUGUAUACGUUAUGUAUCCUUCAGGGAUAUGCUUGCAGGAAGUCUGAUUUAGAAAUUUGUAGUCGUUAAUUUUUUUCUCUGGUGUGUAUCAAAUAGUAAUACAAAUAUAUCUCUUCAAAUGAUAUGAAAUUUCUUAACAAAUGGCACCAUUUCACUUGUUGUCAUGGCAUGUCUUCGGAGACGUCUGAAAAAGACGACAUUGUUAUUAUGAUUAAUAAAUGUCUCAUCUAA